GGGGAUAUAGCUCAGUUGGGAGAGCGCUACGUUGACAUCGUAGAGGUCACUGGUUCGAGCCCAGUUAUUCCCACCA
rnacentral:tRNA from 1 species